ACCCUCUGAAGAGGGUCUGGAUAGGUAACGGCUCAUAUUAAGUUGGGCAAUGUUGAAAUGAGUGUGAUUAACAGGAAGCAAAACUAGGUAGUGGACUCACAACAGACUGGUAAGGACAGAUGAGGAGGAGAACGAAAGCGGAAGCCAGCCAGUUUGCUGAGCCAAGAGGGAGGGACAGAGAGUGGGAUGGGGACAUCAUCCAAGCCAAAGAAGAACAGGCUGGAAAAGGAGGUCACAGGAACAGCAGAGACUACUACCAUUAGUCCUGAAACAGAAGGUACAGACCGUCAGGAACGCACAACGGUGAAACUAGGGACCUCGAAUCCCAUGGUGAAUCCCAUGCAGCACCCAGGUCUGCACAAUGCUGCAUCCGGUCUGUGGAGCCCCGUUGCCCUCCUCCUGUCCUGUGUCCUCCUUCAGGGGGGCAUGUAUUUCAUGUAGAAGGAGAAGGCUGCUGGGAGUCUUUGGAUGGGGUUUGGGAAGAGGUAAUUGGAAGAAAAAUAAAUGAAUAACCUGG